CACCCCUCGAGCCUGGCUCGGUGUUGGGCACCGUCCUUUGCGGGCGCGCCUCAAAGACCUCGGCGGUGGCGUCUUGCCUCAAGCGUAGUAGAACAUACAUCUCGCUUCGGAGCGCAGGGCGUCGCCCGCCGGACGAACCUUCUGAACUUUUCUCAA
rnacentral:misc_RNA from 1 species